rnacentral:ribozyme from 1 species
GCGCGAAGCGAAAGACAGACAGAAGAGAGAGAAGAGAAGGAGAAGAGAAGGAGAAGCUGACGUUCCCUCCGCUCGCUCUCUCUCUCUUUUUUUUUUUUUAAAUCUUUUUUUGCGU